rnacentral:misc_RNA from 1 species
AAACAACAAGCCAAUCUUCAGCCCUAUGUUAACCUUGCAGUGGCGUACUACUUCUAGAACAUGGUGGAGGUGGUGAUAUGCAAGGAGGCGGAAGCGACAAGGGCAUGGCUAGGUCCAUCACUCAUCUCCAGUAGCUUGCAUUGGGUCAGAUCGAGGUAAAAAGUUGAUGCCAAACUCUCGUUGUUGUCUACUCCUCUACUCUAACCGCCAAAUCAAAUCAAGCAAGAGAGGUGUUGAUUGGGAGCCCUUUAGAUGAGGAUAUCAAUGCUAGCGAUCACUUGUCCUAACCCCCAUGGUUCAACUGAAUCAAGUCAAGAAGCUUGCAGCCAUUGAUGCUCCGAUCCACCAUUUUUUAUGGCCAUUUGUUGCGUUACCAGUCAUGUUAGGGAAGCUCACACCAUUGUCAAAUGGUGGCGGCUCACCAUGAAUCAGCCAAGAAGUGUGAGAGAAGGUCUGGCUCUUUGUGGUGGUGGAAGUGACAAAGGUAGUAGAAGGAUAAAGGAGAUCAGCGCAUAAAUCUUGGUUGAAAUUAUUUUUGUUGAGAGGGUAAUGAGACCAAGAGGCCAUCUCAUCCUCUUGCAUGAAAAUAUGUCAUUGUGGGGGAAAGGAGAAAGUAGAGAGAAACAAAGGAGAAAGGAGAAAAGGAGAGAUAGGAGGAGAAAGAGAAAUGGGAAAGGGAGAGAUCAGAGAGAGAGAGAGAGAGA